rnacentral:lncRNA from 1 species
GUGUCCCCCCCCCUUAAUUUUCCCUUCUACACGGUUCUGUUUCUGUUUCUCUUUCUUUUAUUUACGUCUCACCAUGUUUAGUGCAUCUAAAAUUAUGUACUUUUUAAAGAUGUAAAGAUGAGAGAGAGAGAGAGAGAGAGAGAGAGAGAGAGUUAGUUAAAUGCACAUAAACCGCAGGCUUACUGCCCUGAGCUAAUUCAUGACUUGGAACAGUCUCCCUCGGGAGGUUGUGGACUCUCCUUCCUUGGAGGUUUUUAAGCAGAGGUUGGAUGGACAUCUGUCAUGGAUACUUCAGCUGAGAAUCUUGCAUUGCAGGGGGUUGGACGAAAUGCCCCUUGGGAUCCCUUCCAACUCAACAAUUCUUUGAUUCGAUGACUUGGCUGAGCAUGUUGUCCGAACCACGGCACAUGGUUUAGCUCUUCUGAUGCAAGCAGUAAACCAAGAACAAACCUUGGCUAUAGCUUGUUAAUCUCGAGAGAACUAAACCACAACCCCGCAUUCAGAUGGCAUGGCUUAGCUUAGCUUUGUGCAGCAGCAGAAUGGCUGGGUAGGAGAAAAUAGCUGCAGUCUCCUCCCUGGGAGCCUGUGUACUCACGCUAGGCCAAAUUUUGCCUUAGUGUGACAUGUGAACCAAGCCAAUGCUAAACCAGGGUUUGGGGGCACAGUACAGUGGCUUUAUAAAUUACAUUAUGCAUGCCCCGAUUCUCCAAGCGGUGAGAACUCCAGUGGUAUAGUUUGUACCCAGGUUCCUGAAGGAGCCUCUCCACACCCUUCAUUCACUGAAGUCCAGCUCUGAGGGCCUCCUGGCGUUUCCCUCACUGUGAGAAGUGAGGUUACAGGGAACCAGGCAGAGGGCCUUCUUGGUGGUGGCGCCCGCCCUGUGGAACACCCUCCCAUCAGAUGUCAAGGAAAUAAACUAUCUGACUUUAGAAGACAUCUGAAGGCAACCCUGUUUAGGGAAGUUUUUUAUGUUUGAUAUUUUAUUAUGUUUUUAAUAUUCUGUUGGGAGCUUCCCAGAGUGGCUAGAGAAACCCAACCAGAUGGAUGGGGUAUAAAUAAUAAAUAAUUCUUCUUCUUCUUCUUCUUCUUCUUCUUCUUCUUCUUCUUCUUCUUCCUCCUCUUCUUCCUCUUUCUUUCAAUGAGGUCACUGGGUCUGUGUGUAUCUCUGCCUCACUCAGUCUGUUCUUCUUUGUGACACGCAUAAAGACACCUAGAUUACAUCACCACCACCUACAAGACAGAGCAAGAAGACAGGGGAAAGUGCCUUUAGCAAUUUGAUGAGCAACAUAUUGUCUCCAGGUUCCCUAACUGUCGUAGUCCUGUGCUGCCAGCCAUGGCAGAGCUCAGUGGAGGGAGAAGCCAGCCAACCAGUCGAGUCUCAGGGGGGUUCUUGCCUGGAGGCAGAGUCCGUAUGCAAGGUCCAGUCCUAAGGUCAGGAGUAUCUCAGUUCACAUAGUCAGAUGAUCCAGGGGUCAGGAAAGCCAAGGGUUCAAGGCCACGAGAAGCAAGAAGCAGCGAGGUCUGGCCAGGAACGCCAAAUGUUGUUCGAUUACGAUUACGAUAUCUUUAUUGUUCCUAGCAACUGAUGGAGGCUGAAAACCCUGAUUAAGAAUGGCUGCUCACCAGGUCCACUGGUGGGCUACAUUUGGGGCAUGGCACGCGGCUUCUCCGUCCUCUUGAGGCCACGCAGUUCUUCCGGCUGUUGCUCUGCUCUCCUGGCCACUGCGGUGCCUCACGGGUUCCUGCCAAACACGAUUCAAAUUCCAGCCUAUCCAUGGCGCCUGGCGGGCGGGACAACAGGAGCAAACCAUGUUGGAGCAGGCUUUGUUCCGGUCUGCUCCAGAGAUACAAAAGGGAGCUAAAGCCAGCAGUUCAGUCAGCUCCAGGGUGACUUAAGAAAGCUAGAGCCAUUUACGGCAUGUUGUACACUGAAGGAAAAUUAUAUGAAAAUGAUGUACCGGUGGUAUUUGACUCCUAGUAAGUUAACUCCUAGUAAGUUGACUCCUAGUAAGUUAGAGGGACACGGGUGGCGCUGUGGGUUAAACCACAGAGCCUAGGGCUUGCCGAUCAGAAGGUCGGUGGUUCGAAUCCCCGCGAUGGGGUGAGCUCCCGUUGCUCUGUCCCUGCUCCUGCCAACCUAGCAGUUCGAAAGCAUGUCAAAGUGCAAGUAGAUAAAUAGGUACCGCUCCAGCAGGAAGGUAAACGGCAUUUCCAUGCGAUGCUCUGGUUCGCCAGAAGCUGUACGCCGGCUCCCUCGGCCCAUAAAGUGAGAUGAGCGCCGCAACCCCAGAGUCGGUCACUACUGGACCUAAUGGUCAGGGGUCCCUUUACCUUUACCUUUAAGUUAGCAAAAGUGUAUAGAACAAGUACAAAUACCUGCUGGAAAUGUAAAGAGAAAGAAGGUACCUUUUAUCAUAUGUGGUGGUCGUGUAAGGAAAUAAGAGCUUUCUGGGAGAUGAUAUAUAAUGAAAUAAAAAAAUGUUUAAAAUUACUUUUGCUUUAACACUUAUCUAAUGAGACAAGGUUCAACAAGCAAAAUUUGGUUGUGCCUAGAAUAAAUCCGUAAAUAGAAAAAAUGUUUCCUUAUACCAAGAUGAGGACAUGAAUUGAAAUACAGGAAAAACCGUAUCAGAUAGAAUGAAUUGUGGUGAGGUAAAUGGAAGUCGAAAAUAAAUAGAAUAAGUAAAGAGAUCUAUUCCAAAAGGGGAAAUAUUUUGUUUGAGAAUUGAUGUUUUGGGAUAGUAUUGCAUAGUUAAUUUCACUUCAUUUUUGUUCAUGGUUUUGUUUUUCCUUUUUUCCCUUGCUGUUUUUGUUUUUUGCUUUUUGCUUUGUUUUCUGUAGAUUUAUGUUGAGUCUUGUUUGUAUUUGCACAAAACUCAAUAAAAAAAUUAAUUUAAAAAAGUAAAAUAAGUUUAAAAUAUUUUUUGUUAAAAAACCAAAAGCUUUUUUAUUAGGAAUUAUAGGUACUGAAAUUCCAAAGGAGCUGAAAAGACUUUAUGUGUGCGACAACAGCAGCAUGGAUGCUAUUAGCCCAGAAAUGGAAAGAAGAAAGAGUCCCUGCCAGAGUGGAAUGGCAAACCAAGCUGUGGGACUAUGCAAAACUGACUGGAAAGCUCAAGAACCAAGAAGACCAAAAAAAAAAAAAAGAAAGAAAGAAAGAAAAGAAAAAAGAAUGGGGAAAUUUACAAUUUAUUUAGGAGACCACUAUAAGCAGAUGAAAACAUUAGCAGGAUUUUAAUAAUUCUUGUAAUGUAACAGGUACUAUGGACAAUAUGGACAGAUUUAAAAUAUGGACUAUGAAAUGAUAUGCAGUUGGAAAUGUUGAAAACAGGACCCAGGGAGGGGGUGGGGGAAGUCGCGAGAUUCAGAGAAAUUGCCUUUUAUGGUUAUGCAUUUGGCAUUGUAAUUAAUUUGCAUUUGUAAAAUCAAAUAAAAAGGAUUUCAAAAGAAAGCUGGAACCAGUUGGUUCACACCAGGAGCAAGAAGGCUGAUCAGCAGCAGGUGGAGUCACUUCGCCUUCUGCUCCUUCACGCUGCUGCUCAGCAGGUGAAUCUGACUCCUGACCCAUGACACGAACACACGGGACACUUAACUACAGUGGUACUUCAGUUUACGAACUUAAUCCGUUCUGGAAGUCCGUUCUUAAACCGAAACCAUUCUUAAACUGAGGCGCUCUUUACCUAAUGAGGCCUCCUGCCGCCAGUGCCCUUCCACCGUUUGGAUUCUGUUCUUAGACUGAGGUAAAGUUCGCAAACUGGGACACUACUUCCGGUUUUGUGGAGUUUGUAAACCAAAUCAUUUUUAAACCGGACUGUUCUUAAACCGAGGUACCACUGUAGAUUGAAGGAGAAUGUGGUUUAAAAUGCACCAACCUAAUUCACACCUCCCAGGUGGUUACAUAGAAAGGACUAUAAUUAUGCUUUGGAUUUCACACUUCUUAAAAAACAAACAAAUACAUUGUACAGUGGCAAAUAGUCAAACCUCUCCAACAACUCUAUACUGCAUUACACUACCAUAUACAGUAUUAUUAUUAAGAACUCUCUUAGGAGCGUACAGCAGCUAAAUAAAAAUAAAGUGUAUAAAUAUGUGAUAAAGCCAUUAACACAGAAGUGAACUACGUCAUACUGAGGCAGAUUACGGCGGAGCUGUUUCUGCAUAUUUGGAAGGUGAGUCAAAAUGAGCCGUUGACGAAAGCAGUCACCGUUCUCUGGUUCCCUUGAAUGUCUCAAUUGCGGUGUCAACAACUCAUCUGAGACUGAAAUGUGUUUGUGUGUGUGUGUGUGUGUGUUGGUGUCAAGUCUGACAUCAACAGUGAGGCAGUUUGCUUUCUUUUUCCUGCUCAGUGCUUCGACUGACGAGAACAUCAAAGAUUUAAAGAAACACACAAGUCAAUUUAUUAUUAAUUUUUGAAGCUUGUUGCAUCUCAAGCAUCUCAGUGGUCUUCUUCCACUGUCCCUUCUUAGCUGAAGCUCUAGCAGAGUAAAUUCUGGAUAAACUAAAUAUUUUGGACAUUAGAGGUAUUUAAGAAAUGGCACUGAAGCUAUGUCUUCCAGGAUGCCACAAUCUUUGUUGUUUAAUAACGAUUCAUGCAAUUCCAAAUAGGACCCUGAGCAGCAGUGAAGCAGAUGAUGUUCUGUAGUUUGCGGUCCGAUCAAAGGGUUGAGCAUGUUCCAGGAAGAUUUCAACUAGCAGUGAGAACUGAUAAAGUAUCUGUUAUCAGCCAGACAAGAACUGGAGAGAGAAGUGUCUGCUGUGUCUGAUCUAAUGGACAAAUUUUUGACUGCAAACUCUUCAAAAACUCAACUGCUGCAGAUGCCAUUUUUACAGUACCAUAUGCACUGAUAGGCUGAUAAACAGCAACAACAGCAAACACCUGAAGUCGCAGAGCUAUGAUGGGAGUAGCAUACAAAUCCCUGCCCUUCACUUCAAGUUAUGGCCAAAUGGAAAUCAAAAGAAACAAGCUAUUCCUCUCCAAAGUCUUCAGAGCUUCUUGCCCAUUCCCAUUUAAUCAGCUUCUUGGAGACCACAUAUUGUCCCACCCCAGGCUGGGUUCUCCUGGAACAUAGGACCUACAGGACACACAAAUGAGCAUUUCCCCCCAAGGUUACUAAUGUCCCGGGAGUGGCAUUUUUAAACAAGUUAUUUUGCCACUUCAUCAGUGUCUGACAAACUUCAAUCAUAUCUGGGGCAAAGUCAUUAGAUGAGGUCACUUUUUAGGAUGCUGAAUAAACAGAGAGAGAGAGAGAGAGAGAGAGAGAGAGAAUGCAAUCCUGUUUCAAAGGAGCUAUUUAUCUUUAAAAGCUAAUAAAGCAAAACAAAACAUGAGUUCGACAUCUAUGGAAGAACCAAGGAUGCAGUCCAAAGAUCAAAACUUACUCAGUUAAUCGGAAAGUCCAUCUUUAACAAUGGCAGAUACCCUCACAAAUAUCUCUAAACCUCCUCGUUUGUACUAUUAUUAAAACACAGAACACUUCCUAAAUCAAAAGAGCAGCUUAGGUGGCAGAGAUAACUGGAACACUUAUUCAGAUGGCAAUCCUGUCCUCACUUACCUGGGAGUAAGUCCCACUGAACCUAAUGGGAUUACGUUUGAGUAGGCACACACAGGAGCAGACUGUUAAUGGUUUAUAUGUCUCCAAAAUUUAAGAGCAACGGCCGGAGAUCAUUCCGAGCUGAGAUGCUAUGCCAUUUGCAGAUGUCGUCAAAGCUCUAUUACAUAAAACUCCUCGUUAUCCAAAUUUGCUCUAUCCACCAUUUAGCUCAAUGUCACCUUUUGUAAACAGUUUCCUUUUCCAAGCACCUGAUUACUGAAAUGUUUUGGACAUCUUCCAGACCAAAUGAGACACCGCCGCACGACCUCACUACUAACUAAAGCUCUUGGCAUGGUUUAAGCCUACGGUAGCCAAAACAAACUACAUCCCAAGCAAAAUAUUGUUGUCAGCUUUAAAGCAUGGAAAAUCAAAAUCUUUCCACCCAUCUCUGUGCUUCCAAAUACUUUGGCAAACGAAUUGGAAAUAUGGAUGAGCCUCUUCAAAAAGAGGGAUCAAACAAAUUCAUGCUAAAAGGCCCAUGUAAGAGGAAACAUCUAACAGGGCACGGCUGCAGUGAAUAAUAAAAAAACCAAGUCAUUACAUCAGUAAUUACAACCGCAGCUUCAUGCCCGGUCAUACGAGGUCAUGUGUUAUAAGGACAGAAAGAAAUGAGGAUUAAAAUUACUUUUGCAACAAUUACCUUCAGAGGAGAGGUGCUUGUAUUCCAUGGGACCCUAAAGCAAAUAUGAGCUUUAGUAAAGGAAGUAAGCAGUGCCAGACAUUGACACUUGCAAACAUUAAGAUGCUCUGGAGGAAAAGAUGUAGCUAUGAGCUCCAGCCCCAUUGGUAAGGCUUCACACUUAACAUCAUUGGCUUUGCAUAAGUCAGAAAUAGCACCAGGAGUGUGUGUUGCUUUUGCCUUCUACAAAAGCCCCCCACAAAAAUAAAUCCAGCCCUUCCCUUCAGUCCUCUGGAUCUUGUGGCUGUAACCAUGCAAUAAUGAAUGGAAUCAGUUCAGGGUCAAGCCAACUUGACGUUCUAACCUAGGGAUGAGAAACCUGGGCUGCUCCAGGUAUGUUGUUCCCCCUCCGCCCGCAAACUCAGAGGUAUUUAUUUAUACUUUUCAAGUUUUUGCAUUUCACUACUUUCAUACAUUUCACUAAUUUUACAUUCAUUUUGACAUUUCAAAAUGUGACUUCCAUUCCCCCCCUUUCUGCGGUUCCUUAAAUUUGCUUUUAAUAUCUUCCACAUAUCCAGAUUAACUUAAUUUGCUAGUUUAUUCAUCUUCUUUAAAUAUAUACUCAUAUAAAACUGCAGGUUGUUACAAUACAGUGGUAUCUCGGGUUAAGUACUUAAUUCGUUCCGGAGGUCCGUUCUUAACCUGAAACUGUUCUUAACCUGAAGCACUACUUUAGCUAAUGGGGCCUCCCGCUGCUGCCGCGCUGCCGCUGCGCGAUUUCUGUUCUCAUCCUGAAUCAAAGUUCUUAAACCGAGGUACUAUUUCUGGGUUAGUGGAGUCUGUAACCUGAAGCGUCUGUAACCUGAAGCGUCUGUAACCUGAGGUACCACUGUAAGCCUGUCAAUGUUUUUAUCUGUUUAUAAUUUAUCUGUAAAUAUUCAAUAAACCAUUUUCAUUCUUUUAUAUAUAUAUAUAUUUUAUCUUGAUUUCUUAUUUUUCCGGUAAGUUUCACCAUUUCUGAAUAUUCCAUAAGCUUUUGUAUCCAUUCUUCCUUUGCUGGGAGUUCUACUUCUUUCCAUUUUGGGGCAAGUAACAUUCUUGCCUCUGUAGAAGCAUACAUGAAUAAGUUUCUAUACAGUUUAGGUAGCUCUGUCCCUAUAAUUCCCAAAAGAAAAGCUUUCUGGGGUUUUUUUUUACAAAGGUUUUUUAAACAUCCUUCUCAUUUCAUUAUAUAUCAUUUCCCAGUAAGCUUUAACCUUACUACAAGACCACCACAUAUGAUAAAAAGAACCUUCAUUCUCAUUAUAUUUCCAACACUUAUUUGAUUUUGAUUUAUACAUUUUUGCUAACUUACUCGGUGUUAGAUACCAUCGAUAUAUCAUCUUUAUAUAAUUUUCUAUUAGACCAUAACAUGCUGUAAAGUGCUCCAGGUAUGGUUGGUCUCCACCUCCCAUCUGCCCCAACCAGCAUGGCUGAUGAUUAGGAAUGAUGGGAGUUGUAGUCAUCUGGAGGGCCACACAUAGCCUAUCCCUAUUCCCACCCGUGCAAUGAAUUAGGGUUGGAUGCCGUAUCAAAGUCACUGAGAAGUCUCAACAGUGUGGGAAUGUUGUGGAUAGUAGGAGAGGAUAUAUUGAUUAAACAUUAUCCUUCCUUACUCAUGCUAGUGAGCUAAUAGCAGAGCACAUUCCCUUGUAAAUAGCAGGAAGCUGGUUGAUAGAUUCAUUAGAACCAUUUGAGUUAAGCAAUCCAGUCUGGCUUGUCCAGAUUGGAUUAUUCCUGGUAAAUCCCCUUUAGUUCCCUCUUAAAAACAAGAAUGACGCAACAGUCUUCUUUUAAAAGUAAUGAUAAGGUUUACUUACAUUCAGUUCACAGCAUGGUCCUGAAGGCAGGCUUUAGCUUGUAGUUACAGUUACAGAGAAAAGCGUGGAUUCAUCCUCUGUGAGGGAUGGGCUCCAUGUCUGCUGGCUGAGAGCCAGCAGACAGCAAAAGGCAAGAUGGAAUAAGGGGGAAAGAGGAAGAUGGCUGCGUGACCAGCUCUUUUAUAGGAUCUACCAGGGUCAUGCCCAUCUACCUGGUCACAUGCAGGGAGAGGAAGCUCCAGAUCAGGUGUGACAGGAAGUCCUCCUGGCUGGAGCAACAUCCCCCUGUGUGUCCACUCUGGGCAAACAGGAAAUGUUGUAUUUGACUGCUUCAGUGAUGUUACAUCCCAUAAACAGGAAGGAUCUCUCAGGUGCAACAUUGCGGCAAAGAGGCUGCACUCUUGGUGCGAUUGGCCGGGAAAAACAGAUUCCCUGAGGAUAAGGGAUGUGGGUUCAAGGCGUUCCUGCGGUGAACAGCUCGGUUCAUGUCAGCAGUUCCAGUGCACAUCCUGCCAAGUUCGUAGGAGGAAUUGCCACCCGUUCCUGAGUGGACACACUGCAAGGACCGGAGAAAAAGCAACGGCCGUGCAGAAAGAAGGUACCUCGAGAAACAAAGUAGGCUCCACAGGGUAUAGGUGGGAGCAAGCUCCACAGGCUGUAGGUGGGAGCAAACAAACAGGGCCUGAUCAGCCCGACCAGUAGGGUAGAAAAAGUGCCACUGGUUUUGGUGUCGCCCAGAAAAAGCAGUAAAGGGUCUGCUGGGCCCUGGUCGAAGUCUAAGCGCUGCCGGUUGUGGUUUUGGUUUUGGUAAAAAGGGGAUUGAGGGAGGUGCAUGGGUUUUUCUGAAUGUGCGUGUGGGGACACUCCAGUGAAUGUUUUGAGUGUGUGAGACGUUGAAAGCAACGUGUGGUCUGUGACUGAGUGAGAGAAAUGACAUUAGGAGAAGGGAGUGUCCCAGUAUCCCAAGUGUUCCAGGGUCCCAGGGUCAUGGAGAAAGAGCAGUAAAACAACUCCCACGACCCCCCUGCGAUGUUUCCUGGGGGGGGGGGGAAUUGGAAAGAUGCCACAAAGGGAGAAGAUUGGGGAUUUUAAAAAACUGAAGAAAAAUAGACUCCAAACACUUAUGUGAAGUUCCUAACCGUUCCCCCAUGGCUUAGGAAAAGCAAAACUGUGAUUAGCCCAAGCCAAAACUGUGCCCAGUAUGGCAGCAAGUACAAGUUAGAAAAAAACAGCAGUCUUGCCAGACCCAGAAGAAGAAGGAGGAAUAAUUAGCCCCCCUCCACCCUAUGCAGCAACUGCACCAGGGCUAAAUGAGGUUCCCCCUACCCAACCCCCAAAAGCAAAGAGACUGAGGAAGAAAGACAAGAGGAAGUUGAGAAUGGUGAAACUCAGAAGGAAUCAGGUGAAAUGGACAAGCAGACAGUCCAAAAGAGUAUUUCAGUAUGUGAAUUGGCAGAAAGAAAAGAGCAGAAGAUUUUAAAGAGCAACGUGAGAUAGAGCCAGCAAGCAAUCCAAAAGAGUGAGCUGGAUGUGGCUUCUUGAGUUCUAGGAGCAGCACAAUGCAAGGAUGUGAAUUGACAGACAGAAAGAAACAGAGCAGAAGGCUUUGAGAGCCGCAUAGGACAGAACUGUUUUAAAAAAAGAGAGAUAGACAAUUAAACCCGAGGGCACAGCCCUAGGAUUACAAUACUGACCAUUGAGGAAAUCCGCAAGAUAAAUGCCCUCAGGGCAGCGGACAAUACUGAUGUUGCAAUUGAGGCAGCUAAAAGUUGCAAUUGAGGCAGCUAAAACUCCACUUUGAUGGCCCCACCCCACCGACUGUACGGCCCCCUGGAGUCAUCCGACGCCCAGGACCACAGACCUCCAAGCCCCCUAAAUCAGAAUCCUUCUUUCGAAGAGGACCCAGCCAAAAUAAUUAGGGGUUUGUCUUCAAGCAGCCAGCAGCCAAAAAUGUAAUCCCGGAGGGUGUCCACGGGAGGGGCAGAAGAUGCCUAGGGAAGAAGCCAGUGCGCCAUCUGCAGGCAAGAGGGUCAUUGGGCAAUGGAAUGCCCACAGGCCCCACGCCCGACACACCCCACCCCCACAGGCUGGGAACAAUCAGAUUUCUCAAAAAUGAUUUCUUCUCAUCUCUGUUCUUGCUAAAAGACUGUUGCAGCUAGAAGCAAGUGAAGUAACUGUUUCUAACAUUCAUUCAUGCAAGUAACAGGACAUCAGCUUUUCCCCCCCUUGUGCCAGGCGCUUGGAGUAGCUUAUCUCUUGGCAGCUAUCUCAGAAGGACACUGCUGCAUUCAGCCAGCUACUCUGACCUGCUACUACCUGGAGCCAAUUUGGAUUUACAGUCAAGCGACAAAAAAAACCCAGAAGGCCAAGGGUUGCCCACUCCCUGUACUAACCUGGAAAGUGACUUUCUUAAAAAAGCAAGUGAAUGCUUUCUGUGAACUUUGUCCAAAAAAAAAAUCAUUUUUAAGGUGCAAUUUUACUCUGAAAAAGGAGCCGCAGCAUAACAUAGGAAUUGAUACUUUGAGGAAUUUGAUACUUUGCCAGAAGCCAGGGAACACAGUGCCCCUCCUGCUUAACACUGGCAGACUUUGGCAAAUGAACUGAAAUUUGCAACAUGGCUCUGAAGAAAAUAGUGCGCAGAGACAAAGACUUUUAAAAAUCUCAGCUGGCAAAAACUUAACCCAAGGAACAGGACUGUUAACCCCUUGCGAAGUUUCCUGCCAAGCAUACCCUUUUGAGUUAAUACGCCUUGUGUGUGAAUGUUAUCUAUCAAUGCACAGUCGCUGCCGUGUCUGUUUUUCUCUUCUCUUGACAGGUAAACCGGCCAGAGACUGUCCUGUUUCUCUACAGCUGUUGGAUGUCACCGGCAUCUGUGACACCUGAUCUACACCGGCCCCUUCGACUCACCCCAGACUCUCCAGCCUUGUUGGAAGAGACCCAAGAUGUCCAACGCCCACCAGACGCCCCGACGCCCGUGAGAUGACCACCCUGCCUUCCUGCAUCACACUGACGCUUUGCACGGCUCAAGAAUCCAGCAUGGAUUGAAAGAGGACAUUUUCUCAUUUUAUUUCUUUCCUUUUGCAUAAUUGAACUUUAUAGAAGGUUGAGGGCCCCUGGAUAGCCUUACAACACCCCUGCAGAGGAGGGUAUUUGUGUGGGAUGUUCAAUCAGGGAAAUGAUGCCCCGGCCUCCUUUCAUUGUCUUGCCACCUGGCAGAGCUCCACCCAGAGCCUCCAGAACUUAACUAAAGCCCCCUUUGAACCACAGUACCAACUUGGUAAUAACCCUGUGCACGAAUGGCACAGAUUAGCACCGUCUGCACUUUGGCACCUGUAGAUGCUCUGAGGGGACUGCCGCUCCUUCCUGUGCCUUGGAAUGAAUCAUCAGUUACAGCCUCGAUCAUUCCAUCACCGAAUUACUGGCUGGCUUUGUGUCAAUAAAUCAAAGAGCGCCAGUGACAAUCUGACAUGUACGUUCCCAGCCCAAACCGUUACACCUGAGUCCACGCUAGGAACUUUUCUGGCUGCAAUGUGGGCUUCAGAAGGGGGGGGGGGGGUAUCUGCACGCAUGCUUCGCCCCCAGAUUAUAGCGCUGGCCCAAGUAUACCAGCCUGUGCCUUCCUGGGACGAGCCUUUUUGAGAAAAAGGCUGUCCAAAGAUUAAGAGGGGGGAAUGUAGGAGGUGAGAACAGGUGACCCCACCUAGGCCCGAAGUCACCCCCUCCAAAGCAGGCUCAAAGCUUCUCAAAGCUUUUCAAAAUCAUUUUCUCAGCAGCUAAGCAUCAGAAACAUUCUGCUCUGCUGUAACAAAAGGUAGAGAACAGUCCAUUGUUUCUCAGGCCUUUCUCAUGCCUUCUGGCCUUGCUAAAGAACCACAUUGCAACUUACUUUCUGUCUGGGAACCAUGCCAGAACAAGAGAUUGAAACAUAUCUGAACACUCUGAAACCCCUUUCCUGGGAAGGGCACCAAGAGUCCAAUAGUCCCAAGACAGCUUUCUGUUCAUGUUCAGAGGAACUCAUGGGGCAGGACUCUGGAAGGAGGAGAAAGGAGGAGGGAACUAGAAAGGGGUAUAUAUGCUUGUGCACAUGACUGUGAACUUCGUGCAUGCUUUUGUGGACUAUCACACUUGCUCCUUCUACCAGUUCAUGGGUGAUAGAAAUAAAACCUUUUUCUCCGAAACUAUUCCUUGAGUGUCUGUUGACUCCCACUUCCCUUUCCCGGGCGCAAUAUUUUUUCCCACCCGAGGGCAAAGCCUCAUAAGGCUACAGCACGAUGAACGAAACUGAAUUUUGCGUUUGUCAUGAUGCAGCACACAUGAUGGCAUGCUAACUCUCAGGCUCAACUUCUCAUCUGUUGUGACCCAGGAUUAUUUUCCAGUUGACAAUUGUAGCUGAAGAAGUUAAGCUCACUAUAUAAAUGUUAUUAAUUUUUGUGGUUAUGGCUGUUGCUGUUGUUUUAAUUCCCUUUCCAGAUACAGAUAAUUCCAUCAGAACGACC